rnacentral:lncRNA from 1 species
CCCAACAGAGACCACUGAAACAUCAAAAGAAGCAACAGAGAUUAAAGAAAGAAGAAUAAGCAAACUUACCCCUUUGCUAUGCGCUCUCGCCACCAGCGCCGCCGGGGAGAAUCUGUCACUAAAAGUUGAAUGCGCCGUGGAACUCGAACACCACUUUGUUCCGCAUCUUUGGCGGGUUAUCAUCGUAACUACCGCCAUUGUCGUGGUGGUGGUAUUGAGGAGAGACAUCAGGGAAGGCCCAUUGCCGGUCGUAGGUGGAGGCAACCAUCCCUUCGUCCCUCGCCUCUUCGUCUUCCACUUCUCGUCAGCUGGGAACAAAACUUGAGUCCGGUGACCGCCAGU